rnacentral:rRNA from 1 species
UAUGAAGAAGGCCUUCGGGUUGUAAAGUACUUUCAGCGAGGAGGAAGGCGUUGUGGUUAAUAACCGCAGCGAUUGACGUUACUCGCAGAAGAAGCACCGGCUAACUCCGUGCCAGCAGCCGCGGUAAUACGGAGGGUGCAAGCGUUAAUCGGAAUUACUGGGCGUAAAGCGCACGCAGGCGGUCUGUCAAGUCGGAUGUGAAAUCCCCGGGCUCAACCUGGGAACUGCAUCCGAAACUGGCAGGCUAGAGUCUUGUAGAGGGGGGUAGAAUUCCAGGU